CCUACGGGAGGCAGCAGUGAGGAAUAUUGGUCAAUGGCCGGAAGGCUGAACCAGCCAAGCCGCGUGAAGGACGAAGGUGCCAAGCAUUGUAAACUUCUUUUGUCAAGGGACAAAAUCAGGCUCGAGAGCCUGACCGAGGGUACUUGAAGAAAAAGCAUCGGCUAACUCCGUGCCAGCAGCCGCGGUAAUACGGAGGAUGCGAGCGUUAUCCGGAUUUAUUGGGUGUAAAGGGCGUGUAGCCGGGAAGGCAAGUCAGAUGUGAAAUCUGGAGGCUCAACCUCCAAAUUGCAUUUGAAACUGUUUUUCUUGAGUACUGGAGAGGCAGACGGAAUUCCUUGUGUAGCGGUGAAAUGCGUAGAUAUAAGGAGGAACACCAGUGGCGAAGGCGGUCUUCUGGACAGCAACUGACGGUGAGGCGCGAAAGCGUGGGGAGCAAACAGGAUUAGAUACCCCAGUAGUC
rnacentral:rRNA from 1 species